GGCUGGUCCAGACAGUGGUGUUUACAACUAAUUGAUCACAACCAGUUACAGAUUCCUUUGUUCCUUCUCCACUCCUCACUGCUUCACUUGACUGCCUUUA
rnacentral:Y_RNA from 1 species